UCGUGCGAGGAUUUUCGCAAUAUACGUGCGUAAAACGAGGACGUGUCACCGUUUCGGCACUUUUGGUACACUGACGGUCGGAAAACGCGAAGAACGGAUCGGAAGUUUGGGCGCGGGUCCGGGACUCGGGUCACGUGCGCGGACGAGGGCUGAAAACGAACUCGCGACUACGUCGUCGGCGGUGGCGCGUGUGUCUGCGAGUGUGCCCGGUCGAGUGGCGUGCGUGGCGGU